GAACACUGCAAUGGAAGAGAGCCACUGUUAAUGAUAUGAACUACACCUGUGCUCUACCUGAUAUGACAAGUCAAAAUGACUGCUGUGAAAAAGUAGUACAAAGCCCUGGGGACACACACAGCCAGACAGGGGCUCUCUGCAGCUCGACUGUGCAACACUGGACCCCUGCUGUUGACCAGGAGGGUCCAGGCUGGAGCAGGUGAGAAGGCAGGAGCGUGGAGAGUAGACCAGAGAGCCCGGACACUGGUUCACCUCCUCACAGCGCUCCUGAGUGCAGUUAAACCGCCCCUGCUCACACACACUGUGAAGGGACACAUAUUGAUGGGCACACACUGGCCCUGGUGGUCCUGCACUAGUCCUGGUGGGCAUUGGCAACCUGGAACACACAUCCUGAG